AUGAAGGUGGAAGGAAUGAGGAGGCUAGAUUUAUCUGUCAGCCUCUCGGAUAUGUCGUUACAACACCGCCCGCGGUCGGUCAUAGCUGACGCAUAUCGUCGUCGCCAAUUUCGUAGCACCACCCCAUGCGCUCUCAACACCGGUCAAAAGUCGUCAGCCUCGCGGAUAAAUUGGGUCUCAAACCCAUCCACAUCCAGCCCAGCCGCCCACCGUUCGGCGGCUACCUCGCCGCACUCCAACGCAGCGGCCGCCACCUCCCCCCCCCAUCUCAACCCCCGUAGGAUGUACCGCUUCCUCGACCAGCAUCGGCGCCGCUUCCUCGAUCUGUCCCGGCGCCGUUUGGAUCGUUGCGGCGACGGCUUCGUCGGUCUUCAGCUCCGCCACCUACAUCCUGAAGGAGUACGAUCUCGUGGCUGGUAUGGAUCUGAACGCCCACCCUUCCCUGAUCUGACUGCUACGAAUUCUCUGAAGUAUGCUAGGAUGGCGACGGACAUGUUGACCAUAUACCUGCACUAUGAAGAUACAAAUCAGGAAGCCAAAAUUUUACAAAGAUCCAUGAUGAGAGGUGAUGUCUUGUAUUACGACUUAAUCUUGAUGAUCGAAGAAGUUGGCUUUCAGGCAAUUGACUUUCUGUACUAUGCGAAAAAACCCCGUCUAGGCAGCUCCUACUUAGUUCACAUUUAUGAUGAAGGUGUUGUGAUGAAAAUGUUGUCUGACACUGAGAUUGUGAAAGCUGUCCAUCUGUAUGUGUCUAAGGAGAAGGCUGACGAUCAUAUUGCUCCGCCUAGCAAGAAAAUUGAUGUUGCUCCAUCUAACCAUCCAAAUGAGAGUGUUCUCUUACAGGACGGUGGUGUCUCUGCUGAAGGGGCAGGGCAACUUACUAUGCAAGGGCUGCAAAAUGGAGACUGCAACAAUGGUGAGCAAUUCCCACAAGGUCAUGAAUCACAAGCAUUGGUCGAUGAAGAGGGUCAAGUGCACAAUCAAGUAGACAAGGAAGUACGCAAGCGCAAGAGAACAAGCUUGCCAAUUGUCUGGAACAUGCCAAAGGGGCAGAGAAUAGUUGUGAAAUGCAAUGAAGAUAGCCAGCCUAUAGGAGAUGAAGGUGCAAUCUUGGGGAAGUUUCUGGGCACGGUUGCUAGAAAUGGAGGAUUUUACCCACUAAACAUAAAUGAUUGGCGUCAUGUCAAAAAGAAUAGUGGUGAGGAAACAAUAUUGCAGUGCGUACAGAGAAUCCAGUGCAAUGGACCCAUUGAGGCACUCUCGUCUAUGCAACAUGACAUUCCUGAGGAUAAUAAUUUAUCGCGUUCGCACGAAAAGGUUGGCGACCAUGAUGUCAACCAAUUACAAAUUCAACAAAAUUCAUCAUCACCACAAGACCUUGUUAUUGAUUCUGUGCUAGAGGUUGCUUUCAAAGUAGUCUUAAAGACUUCAACAUAUCCCAACAAGCGGAAUGUUGCGUAUGGUACUAUUCGAAGUACUGAUCCAAGAACUAAGGCUGGUGGUAUUGAGUUAGGUGCUGAAUUUGCUCUUGUGCGCAUAGACGAACCUAUUCUUGAUAAUGAGGAGUUGGUAAGGGAAGUUUCUGAUUGCAAGACAAUUGGCGAGGCUUUCACUUCAGGAUACUUAAUUGCCUCGCCUUCAUCUUUUAUUCGAGAGAAGGAUGGUUGAUUUGCAGUUGAAUUCUUGGAUCAAGAAGCAAAUAAAAUUUAAAGAUUUUAGCUACCAAUAGUUGUAGUUUACAUUGAUAGAUUUAAAAGUGUAAUAUCAUCCAGAACAUCUUUUUCUUUCAUCGAAUUGAUGCAAAUGCGACAGUGUAAUAUUCCCCAUAGUUGUGUUUUCUAUCCUCAAAAUUAUAUGGCUGAUAUCUUUAUUGUAAUGCAUAUGUAUCAUAUACUCUUCUAUGUUCAUAAUAAAUAUCUUCG
rnacentral:rRNA from 1 species